UUUCCGUAGGUGAACCUGCGGAAGGAUCAUUAAAGAGAAUAUGCCCUUCGGGGUAGAUCUCCCACCCUUUGUUUAUAUUACCUUUGUUGCUUUGGCAGGCCCGUCUUCGGACCACCGGCUUCGGCUGGUCAGUGCUUGCCAGAGGACCCAAAACUCUUAUUAUUAAUGUCGUCUGAGUACUAUAUAAUAGUUAAAACUCUCAACAACGGAUCUCUUGGUUCUG
rnacentral:misc_RNA from 1 species